GUCUAUGGCCAUGCCACCUUGAGCAACCCAGAUGUCUGAUCUGAUUUUGGAAGCUAAGCAGGGUCUGGGCCUGCUUAGUACUUGGAUGGGGGACCACCUAGGAAGACCAAGUGCUGUAGGCG
rnacentral:rRNA from 1 species